UACAGAGGUCUCAAGCGUUGUUCGGAUUCAUUGGGCGUAAAGGGUGUGUAGGUGGCGCGCUAAGUCGGGUGUGAAAUUUCGGAGCUUAACUCCGAAACUGCAUUCGAUACUGGCGUGCUUGAGGACUGGAGAGGAGACUGGAAUUCAUGGUGUAGCAGUGAAAUGCGUAGAGAUCAUGAGGAAGACCAGUGGCGAAGGCGGGUCUCUGGACAGUUCCUGACACUGAGACACGAAGGCCCAGGGGAGCAAACGGG
rnacentral:rRNA from 1 species